rnacentral:rRNA from 1 species
UGCCUACGGGAGGCAGCAGUGAGGACUUUUGGUGUUUGUUCGAGAGGCUGCACCAGCCAAGUCGCGUGAGGGAUGACGGCCCUACGGGUUGUAAACCUCUUUUGUCGGGGAGCAAGACCCGCCUCGUGCAGGCGGAGCGAGAGUACCCGAAGAAAAAGCAUCGGCUAACUCCGUGCCAGCAGCCGCGGUAAUACGGAGGAUGCGAGCGUUAUCCGGAUUUAUUGGGUUUAAAGGGUGCGCAGGCGGACCAUCAAGUCAGCGGUAAAAUCGUGGGGCCCAACCCCAUCCCGCCGUUGAAACUGGCG